GCCUUCGUGGUGUAACGGUAGCACAGUCGGAGCGUAUUCGAGAGGUCCAGGUUCAAAUCCCGGCGAGGACA
rnacentral:tRNA from 1 species